CUGUGGAAGGAAAAAACAAGAAUAAAGUUUAUUUACCUCUAUGCAUUACACUGGAAAAAGAGGGAUUCUCCGGGCGUGGGGAGUCUGAAGGCGAGCAUCCUCCCUGCCGACAACGGAAGAAGAGAAGAAUGUCGUAUGGCGUCCGAUGGCAGGCUGAUCCAACUGUGUACAUCCGAAUCAAAACAUGGAUGUCUGUAAGUGAACAGCAUCCUGUGAGGUUCUUCCACACUCUUGCAAUCACACCAGUCAAACUACCAAAAUCUUUGUUUAUUAUUUAAUGUGAGUAAGGAUAAUGUGACUUUCCUCUUUUAUCUGAUGGCCCAGUUUAGCAGUCAACAUAAGAAUUCUGCAGUGACAGAUGGAACAUGUGCUUUGUCACUUUGCUGGGUAUCAUAUUCUUUCGUUGCAGGACAGUGCGGUCAGUUUCAUGCCGUGAAGUACCACUCCCAUCUCUCCAGAAUUCCCAUCCUCCCUCUCUCCUCCUGUUGUGCAGCUGCUCAGACCCUCCCUGUCUCACAGCUGCUGGAGAGGAGCAGCAGCAGGAGGAGGAGGAGGAGGGAGGAGGGGAGUGCAGAAUGUUCUAUCAAUGGCAGGGAGCCACGGCUGCUUCCUGUUUUUCUCUUUCAUCCCCUGCAGUUCAUGUUGAGUACAGCAACCUUAAAAAGCCGGCUGUAAAUUCUACAUUUUCACUUCCCUACUGCAUAAAUCAUGAGAAAAGCAAAGUUUUGAGUUCAUACUGCAUUGCAGACUUGGAAGGUAGGUGAGUGAAUAUAUUAGACAAGCCUCUUUUUAAAUUGCUGCAGGAUUCGGAGCAACUUAAAGAGUUUUAUUGUCACUGCAAGAGUCACAUUAAGUACUUUAGUUCAAACACAAAAACUGCAAUUCAGGCAGUUUUAGUUCCUCAAACAAGACAGAACCGGAGGAAUCACGCCCCAACGUCAGUCCAGCUGAACAGCACACACACACACACACAGACAGGCUGACAUGCAGCCACGUGAUCGGCCCACUGAAUGACAUCAUUGCAGAGAAUCUGGGACAAAGAGGGAGGAGAGCUGGAGAGUUGGCAUGCCGGGUGGAUACCGUGGCAGGCCUCAGCAUCAACAUGGACGCUGACUGAUCUCAGCCUCAGUUGGAUGGAAGCAUCCCAUGCAGCAGAAGCAAACAGCCAUCUUGUCUCAUUUAUAAUGCAUUAAAGUGCAGUGAAAAGGAAAGCCACAUAUUUUUAACAAAGAAUUUGCUUUAAAGCCCCAGGGAAGGGCCACAGCUCUAUAUUGAUUUGCCACACCUACAUCAUGGAUUGAUGCAGCCCUUACUCAUUCCUCUGCAUGCAUAAUAAAUAUGCUUUAACUAGCCCUUUAUUUUAAAAAUUAUUACUUGUAAUUGUGCACACAACUGGGGAAAAAUGCACUGCAAAAAUGUUCAAAGCAAAAAAAUAAAAAAUAUUAUUAUUAUUAUUAUUGUAGUUGUUGUCUUAAUCCCCAAAAAAAACAUUGCAUACCCUGCCAACAAUAU